CCGGGGGAAGAGGCUGCGGUGGUCCUAGUGAGCCCCCAUGGUGAGCUGGGACCACAGGGGGGCUGCCUCCUCUGAGCCCUUAGGAUUCAUGGGACCUCUGCACCACAGCACUGGCUGCCAGGGGCCAUGCUGUGUUCCCCACUCCUUUCCUAGUGUCCUGGAGGCAGCCUCUGCAGUGAAAAGCCGGACUAGGAGAGAGGAGGAAGCAACCAAACUGCAGACUUGGCCCUCGGAGCUCUCUGGAGCUGUGCGGUCUCCGGGCCGGUGUCCUGCACUAUUGCUCAGAGGGCUGGGCGCCAUCUAGAGGGCAACAGCCAGAAGGCAAGGAAAGCUGCAGUGAUUCCCAAACAACCAAAGGGGAUGCGGGGAAGCCUGCUUCUGGCUCUAUGGCAUCUCACUAUGUUGCCAGGCUGGAGUGCAGUGGUGCGAUCUCAGCUCACUGAAACCUCCGACUCCCUAGUUCAAGCGAUUCUCCUGCCUCAGCCUCCCGAGUAGCUGGGAUUACAGGCACACACCACCACACCCAUCUAAUUUUUUGUAUUUUUAGUAGAGAUGGGGUUUCACCAUGUUGACCAGGAUGGUCUCGAUCU